AAAACAGCACGAUGGAGCAAAAGGACAAGGGAUGGAAAGAAGGAGAUAAAGACAGAGGGAGAAGGGAAGCCUGAUUGGGGGCAGCCGCGGGCCAGCUUCCUGUCCCUCUUGCUGCCUUCUUCCCUCCGUCGUCCACUCUCUCCCCUCGUAGGGGAUGAAGAGAUUAAGAGGAAAUUACACCGAGUCCUUCUCUUCGACAAGGCAGGAGAAGUGGGGAGUCGGAACUUCAAACAACUUUUGAAAAGACGGGAUCAGAGGUCCUGGAAAAAAAGGGGCUGGACGAGGAAAAGACCGGCAGUCACGGAGGAAGAAAAAGACAAAAAAAACCCAAAAGAAGUCAUUUGGGAUUCGAGGUCACGGUAGAUGAAGGGAAGGGGACAGAGAAAGAAGUGAAUUAGAGAAGAAACUGAAUCUCUAUGUUGACCCCGGAAAGGAGGUUAUUGUGGUGACGGAAAAGUAUUUCCACGUAACUAAAGGCCACGAGACUGACACCGAGCUACGAGGGAGGGCUGCGUUUCUGCAGCAAACGAGCUCCUUCACGUAAUGAGCGAGAAGAGAAGGUGCCAAAAAAGAGGGUCGAGUGAGUUGUUACUGAGGUCUUGAUGGUGGUCUUGGAACCUGAGGUCUGUCCCAGUUCGUUUCAUUGAGGAGGAAUACGGAGGGCUGGAGUCUUUCAUAAUCGCUUCUCUUUUCUGUGAGAAAAUAGAUAUAUAAACAGGCCCAUUUUGCAUUGGAUACACGGUUAACAUGUAAGCACCAAUGACUCUGUAAUGCGGAUGCCUGCAGAGAGAGCGUGUGGAUGACCUCUGUGUUUCUAUUCAUUUCCCAGAGGCAUGUAUUUUGCUUUCUGGAGAGGCUUCUGAAGUAGCUCUUAGCCCAAAGGUGAGGUGGCGCUGGGACCAAUAAUAAAGAUGUAUUUCUUUUUUUCUCGUAGCAGUCAAACUCAAGGUAAAACCUGGAAUAGUAUUUAAUAGGCGAAGUCUGCUGCAUACCAACUCGGAAGGAUUCACAUCAAGCUCACAACUUGUAUUGCAUUUAAUAGCCUGUAUUUAUUUUCAAUAUUUAUCGUCUCUGUCUGCUGCAUAAUAAUUGAGAAAACCUAAAUGUUAUAAAAAUUAUUGUACCGUUUUUGCUGAUUCACAUUCUAAGCCAUCGGGUUCAACCGUACUGCAGUUUAGGAUGUUGCAGCUCACAGGGUUUAUUAAUGCAGCUCAGUUGAAUGUGCUUUAUUGUCACAGAGGUUACAUCUGAUCUUCUAAUUAGUUUUUAAUUAAUUAGUGUUUAAAAAAAUGUUGUAGUUUCAUUAUUUAUGUACAUGAAUGACAGUUGUUUUUUUGGAAAUUAUCUUUGCUUAUAGUUUGGCAGUCAGAGCGUCUUUGUGCCCCAAGUGCAUCAAAAAUGUAUAUGAAAAGAAUUAGAAUCAAGUCAUGUGAUUUCAAUGUUGUUUUUAGACCACAAAGUGGUGCAGUGACCAAAGGGUGGUGAGCUAAUCUACGUUAAAUCUCUCUACAUGUCUGAUGGUGAAACAGUGGGACUCUUUACCAGCUCAGUUGCAAAAUCCAUCAACUGACAAGAUGAACUCAAACCAAUGGAGCUACUUGGGCCGAGGACUCCUUUCCUGUUACCCUGCAGUCCACAAAUUGACUUUGUUCUACAGGACACAAUGCAAGCACUCGCACACAAAGGCACACAACUACAGGUAUAUGCACAAUAGAAAGAGCCGAUGGAACGUGGUGAUAAAACAGCGUGAGGUUGAAGGGGAAGUUGAACAAUAGCUGCAGCUGCAGACCCGGUUCUCGUCGAGGUGGGAUUUAUGGCAAGGUGCCACAGACCCACACACACACACACAAUCCUGUGUAACAAUCAGGCCAUCGCUGUGACAAAGACCAUGUGUUAACUAUGCUCACAGAAAUCAUCUCUCACACACACACACACACACACAAACAAGCCCAGCAGGCUCUUACACAGAAAUCUAAACGCACUUUGUCACUGGUCUCUCAUCCCAGCAGGUAACACUAUGUCUUUUCCUUCUGUCUCGGUGCUCCUGUACGUCUCUACAUUGCUGUCUUUGCCUCUCUUUCGAUUUCUCAGCAGUCUCUGCUGAAUCCUCUUUCACACCUCCAGCCUCCCCACCACUCCCCCUCUGUCUCCCCCUCCUUUUUGCUUCCUCUCAUUCCCCCUAAGCAGUCUUUCCUAGAGCCCCUUUCAUGCUUUCCCCUCUCUCUCCCACUACACAUUUGCCCUCACUCACAGUCCGGCCUGAAGCGUCUCUCCCUCCCUCCCGCUCUCUCUCUCCCCCGCUAUCCCCCUCAUAUAUUCUUUUCUCUGCACCUGGCCAUGACUCUUCCCCCAUUGCUGUGGUUUCACCUCUCCACCUAUCUGACAGUUUCCACAUUAAUCAUUCUUACAUCCCCGAGAAGAGCUGUCUUCCCUUGCCUCUCUCUCUAUCUCUCUUUAUAAUUCUUAUUUUUUCUCUCUGCCUCUCACUUCCUUGUCACAUUGCAUAUCUUAUUCUCACAACUUGUUUCUCACCUCUCAUUAUAUCUCUAUUUAUGGACGUGCAAGCAAAAUGACAUCACCUUUCUCCCGGUUGUAACAAGUUAUCAUUUGUUGGCAAUAGCUGCAACAGGAUAUCUGAUUAUAUUUGAUUCUUAUUCAGUGGUCGGGGGGGUUUAAGGAUUUUAAUGUUAGACGUUAGCGAUAUAUCAAGAUAGCAGGACACUAAUUCGAGUGAGUGACUUUAUCGCACAAGAAGGCUGACUUUCUGUCAGCUUAUCCACACAAAAAAAAUACAAAUGUGCUAAUAGAUCAAAUCCUGAUAAUUCAGAGAGUAAUUUCCAUUAAGUGAUCUUUUAAUACCAAGUGUGGCUCCUCCUAUAGAAAUGAAAGGAAUGCGGUAAGAUUGAUGUUGGUCUGUCUUAGCGAGGAAAACAUCUAAUUUCAUUUGAAAGUGUAUUUCAGGUCAAUGUGAAGGCAACGAGGAAGCAAAAGGAAACCAAAUGACUUUGAUGAUUUCAUAGAAGAAAAUCCAUGAAAUCAAAGGCUGGCUUGCUACACGUUUGUGGCACUAUCGAGACGCCCCCGUCGUCAUGGCUAUCGUCACCUGCCGGUGUCUGUGUCCCACGAUGCAUUGCAACCCGCGCGGUCGCAUGGCUGGUGGUGGAACUGCAGUGACAUCUACUGAGGGAGGAAAGGAGAGGAGAGGCAGAAGGAAGAUUAAUGGGGGAAAGAGUGGGGGGGGGGAAGGUGACUCACAACGGUAUCUGAAAUGCAAUAAAGGAUUGUAGGGAAGAGCGAGAAUGCAAGAACCAAAUUCAACCUUGGAAAUGUAUUAUUACAUAUUCAGUUCAGGCCUUUUAAUAUCAGCACAAAUUAACUUUUUUUUUUUAAACAAAAGGCACCAUUUCAGCCGUCGCACUGGAAGUUUCACUGCUUUUCCCGGUUUUUCUAGAUGUUUCUUUUCGUCUCUGUAACCAGUAUUCAGUGCGGAUAAUUGCUUCUCUUUAGCAACAACAGCUCCGAACUGAUUUUUAUUCCAGUCAGCCGGCUUUGAUUCGGGCUGUGUCUGUAUUGUAAUUAUUGUCUUAGCCACCGGCUGUCAAACCCUAUUACGUGAGGUCAAACCCAAAUGACUAUCCCGAGCUGAUGACAAUAAUCUGACUACAGACACAUG
ensembl:lncRNA